CAAGAUGCCACAUUACCCUUUACUUCUGAUUUCUUUAGCACUUCCUCGUGUUUACGAUGUGCUUAGGGCUGUGUAAUAACAACACACAGCCCAGGACUGAGAAUCCUUUUAUUUUGUCUGGUAUGAAAGACUUGAAAUUUCCCCGUAGUUUAAAGACCCGGGUCAGAUGCCUGAGUUGUCUCCGUCCCAGAUUCCUUUCUUCUUACUGCAGAGUUCUUAGCACAGACCUCAGAGGUGGAAAUGGCAUUGGGUGAUGCAGGGCAGCGAGAGCGUGAAGGUGUGUUGCGCGCACUUUGGACUGCGCACGGAUCUGUUCACUAGCGCAUCUUCAUAUACUGAUGUAUUCAGAAGCUUCUUCUAGCAACAUUCCCAGACAAAAGACAAACCAUGGAGCUACUACAGCCUCAGAUUUGUGGAACGGAGAGAGAAAGAGGAGCAGCAUCAAUGGAAGCA